CACUUCUUCUUUAAUCUAUUCUUAGUAAUAUCACUGUUUUUCGAAGCAUCAAUUUAAUUAGUAGUUGCGAUCAAAAAUUAUUAGUAAAAUGUUUUCAGUACCGUGAGGGAAAAGGAAUUUUUUAAAUGAUAGUAGUCAAAUAUCACGUACUUUUUGCAUCACGACCUAGCAAGUAAAAAGUAAAAAUUUAUCUUCUCGAAGAUCUGUGAGCUAUCUUAUUUUUGUUUUUAGAACAAAGUUAUUCUAAAUGUUGCAAAAUUUAAAUAAAAAAAUAAGAUAGAGAUGAUAUUUCUUUCGCACUGAUGAUAGCUAGUUUUCUUAGAAAUGUGUCAAAGUACACAAUGAACACAAAGUUAAAAGUGAUUAGACCUCCAUUGCUAAUUUGAGUUCUAUUGGACUUUUUUGAGGAUAAGCUCGAAAAUUGUUGUUGAGAACUAUAUAAUUUAAAUUUAUUGUGUAGGCCUAAAAUUAGCCAUCACAAGAGUUUGUUAUAAAACAAUAAAAACACAUAAAAAUAUUAUUAUAUAUAACACCACUAUAAAACUAUAAGAACAAUAAUCUGAACUAAAAGAUUAAUGUGCCUAUGCUAGGAUGAGUAUUAUUAACCGCUUAGACUGGAAAAUGAAGUAUUUCUUAGGAAAACAUUUUUUACAUAAAUUAAAGAGAAGGAAUUCGGCAAAUGUUGUUUCGCCUGUUUAUCAAAAACAUGGCUCUUUGAAAAAAGUAUAUAAAGAGUCGAACCUGCCCAGUGAAUAAUUUUUAACGGCCGCGGUACCCUGACCGUGCAAAGGUAGCAUAAUCAUUUGCCUUAUAAUUGAAGGCUGGCAUGAAUGGUCUGACGAGAGCAACACUGUCUCCUCUUUAUUAUCUAAAAAUUAACCUAUAGGUGAAGAGGCCUAUAUAAAAUUGAAGGACAAGAAGACCCUGUCGAGCUUAAAAGAAAAGUAGAGGUUAAGUUAUCAAAAGAGAUCAAUAAACUAUUACAUAGCUUUUUAGUUGGGGCGACUAAGGAACAAAUAAAGCUUCUUUUAUUUUUAUAGAUUUAUGGAUUCGGAUCCAGCAAAGCUGAUCAGAAAAAUUAGUUACCGCAGGGAUAACAGCAUAAUCUCCUUUGAGAGACCUAAUCGAAAAGGGGGGUUGUGACCUCGAUGUUGGACUAGAAUAUCCUGAAGAUGCAGACGUCUUCGAAGGUUGGUCUGUUC
rnacentral:rRNA from 1 species